AUGAACUCGUUGUUUAUAACAUUGUUCGCUUUCCGUUUUUAUUAACAAUAUUAUUUUUAUGGUUUAAUACAUUUUUCAAAAAUUCACACAUAAAUAAACUUUAUUUGUGCUCUUAUCAUUUACGGACGUAAUUAAAGCAGUCAUCACAAUAUAUUCAUUCAUUGAGCUGUUAUAUUGGUUUCAGUGCUUGAAAUUUAUCGGCUUAUUAAUUUCAUAUUGCCAUGCCACCACGCCCGAGAAAACGUAGUUUGGAAGUUGCGGAGGCUUUGCGGGCCAUGGCCACGCCGGACGUCGGUCUACAAUCGGAACCAAUGGAAGACACUAACGCUCAAAUACCUGUGGCCAUGCCACCACGCUCGAGGUAACGUUGACGGGAAGUUGCGGAGGCUUUACGGGCCAUAACGACGCCGGAUGUCGGUAGUCGGGCAACAGCGCAGACCACGCGGCAGUGGUACCUUUCUCGGCGGAACCACUGGUAUCAAGUAACGAUCACGAUUUCACUGUUACAAACAUGGUCAGUCUUUAUUGGAAACAACAAUACCAUCAAUACUACAUGGUCAACACCAGAAUCUUUCAACCUUGUUUCACCUGAUCCUGAGGUGAAUUUCAAUCCGAGGUCCUACCGUCUAAGUUUACCGGGACGAUCGGGAACUACAGCAACAACAACAGUCUCCGGCAGUCAUAGUGCAGUGCCAAAGCAUCAUACCAGAGAUCGAGAUUCUAGACAGCGAGGGCGAGGAAAUACAGAGCGCUUGACUAGAGUCAAUGCAGCACCAGGAACCAAGUACCUUUCGCGAUGAUUCCACAGAGCCGUCUGUGGCUGAUAUUUGACAAGAGUUUCGGAACCGAUACAUCAAAGAUGACCACACAAACUGUGUGAUCUCCUGUUCCAAGCCCUUAGAUAGUGCCGUACGACUAUUAGAAAAGACGACGGUCAAGCUUCAGAAUAAAUAGUUUUUCAAGUUUUCCGGGGAGAUUUGUGAGGAGCCUGGUGGACCAAGAAGGGAAUUUUUCCGAUUGGCAAUAGCAGAGCUUGGAGGUUCAAAAUGUUUUGAAGAACAAGAUGGAGCAAAGGUUUUCAGACAUGAUCUUCAACUUGUUGAAAAGGAGAAAUACAGGAUUGUGGGAAGGCUGUUGGCUAUGUCACUUGCUCAGGACAGACCAGGUUUUUUCACUGCUUGAAUAAGCAGUUUUUUGCAAUGAUGACGGGUCGUGAAGGGGAGACAACUGCUGCUGAUGAAAUCACGGACCCCAAUAUUAAGGAAUGUCUUGAAAUGUUGGAGAAAAUCAACGACGUUCAGAAAAGGGAUCAGUUCUUGGCAAAGUUCGGGGACUGGCUGGCUGACAGGGGUAUCAACCCUUAUAGAAUGGCCGUGGCGGACAAGGGGUCCAUGAAGGAGAUGGUUAUAAAGUACCACGUCUUUUUAUAGAACAUCAUCCGAGGUUGCUCAAUUUAAGGUUGGCAUGGAUGACAUAUGCGGCAUGUGGGGGAUGGUAACAAAACAUGCCAGUGUAUUCCAACCGCUAGUUUGCAAUCUUCCUAAACCUCUAAUGAAACAUAAGAUGGACAGAAUCAUUCGGUAUGAUUUCAGUGAACUCGGAUCUAAUGCCAGGACGUCUGAAGAUGAGACUAUCUACGCAUGGGAGCUCUUUUUGCAUGACAUUGAAGAUGGAAUUGUUCCCACAACCAUGGCAGAAUUGCUGGCAUUCAUUUCGGUAGCGGCCAGCAUUCCCCCCUGUGGCUUUCAAAAGCCGAUUGAGAUACAUUUCUAUAUGCAAGAAGACGGAGUGACCCGUCUUCCAUAUGCAUCGCCAUGUUCUCUGGACUUGUGGCUGCCUAGAGGACAGACACCCGAGAGCGUUUCUACCCUUCUAUUGAAGAGUGUUAAUGAGUCGAUGGGAUUUUUAAAAAUAUGAAAAUGCUAUAAAAAAAAGGUUAAUCUACAAAAAACAUACUCUGAUUCUUUUUAUGUCCCCAGAACCUAUGUUCUGGGGCAUAUUAAAAUCGCACCGUUCAUAAGUCCGUCCGGAGUAGUUUCCACUCAAUAAAUCAAGUGGUUUUCAUCUGAUCUUCACCAAACUUGGUCAGAUAGUGUAUCUAGAUAAUGUCUAGGCCAAGUUCGAAGAAGGGUCAUGCCAGGUCAAAAAACUGUCACUGUGUAACGCAGUGGGUUUUAAUCAUUCAGCAUGGUUUUCGCUCAAUAAGACAAGUAGUUUUCAUCCGAUCAUCGAACAACUUGGUCAGAAGUUGUAACUAGUUGAUUUCUAGGACAAGUUCGCAGAUGGGUGAUUCCGGGUCAAAAACAAGGUCACGGGGUCACGUAGUGCGUUUUAAACAUUCAGCAUGGUUUCUGCUUAAUAAGUCAAGUAGUUUUCAUCCGAUCUUCACCAAACUUGGUCAGAAGUUGUAUCUAAAUAAUGUCUAGGCGAAGUUUAAAGAUGGGUCAUGCCGGGUCAAAAACUAGGUCACAGUGUCACUUAGUGCGUUUUAAACAUUCAGCAUGAUUUCUGCCCAAUAAGUCGAGUAGUUUUCAUCCGAUCUUCACCAAACAUGGUCAGAAGUUGUUUCUAGAUGAUCUCUAGGCCAAGUUGAAACAUGCGUCAUGCUGGGUUAAAAACUAGGUCACGGGGUCAAUUAGUGCGUUUUAAAUAUUCAGCAUGGUUUCCGCUCAAUAAGUCGAGUAGUUUUCAUCCGAUCUUCACCAAACGUGGUAAGAAGUUGUCUCUAGAUGAUCUCUAGACCAAGUUGAAACAUGGGUAAUGCCGGGUCAAAAACUAGGUCACAGGGUCUCUUAGUGUGUUUGAAACAUUCAGCAUGGUUUCUGCUCAAUAAUUCAAGUAGUUUUCAUCCGAUCUUCACCAAACGUGGUCAGAAGUUGUCUCUAGAUUAUCUCUAGGCCAAGUUGAAACAUUGGUCAUGCCGGGUCAAAAACUACGUCACGGGGCCACUUAGUGCGUUUGAAACAAUCAGCAUGGUUUCUGCUCAAUAAUUUAAGUAGUUUUCAUCCGAUCUUCACCAAACAUGGUCAGAAGUUGUCUCUAGAUAAUCUCUAGGCCAAGUUGAAACAUGGGUCAUACCGGGUUAAAAACUAGGUCACGGGAUCACUUAGUGCGUCUUAAGCAUUCAGGUAAUGCUUUAAUGCAGUGACAACGAUCAGUAUCGUGUGGACAUUUUUCUUGUUUUAUUAUUAUUUACAUUUUUUAUGCACACAUGCACAUGUAUGUAUGUAUGUUUUAAGAUUCUCACUAAAGUAAGACCAUUUUGGUGGAUUUGUCCAAACUUGUGUGUUGGGGGUAUGCAAUUUAAAUUGAUAAAUUAUUGCUUAUUUACUAGAUUACAAUUAAGGCUUUCUUUAUUGUGAGUGCAUACAGAAAAUUAUUUAAAAAAACACAAUAAUUUUUCUGUUUAAUAAAAAAAACAUGACAGCCAGUUUAUGGUCUUGUUAAAGCUUUUACAUUAAUUUUGUUUAUAUUGUGACAAAUUGUUCUUGUUUUGUAUAGUUUUUUUUUAUAUCAAAGUCAAUAACUUAAGCACUCUUAUUGAUAUUAAAAUCAAAUUACGAAUAGUUUGUCACCGUCAUAAAAUUAAUUGAUUUAAGUUAUAAUCCUUUACUAACACAUGAUUCAGUUAUUCCCCUUACAAAAUAAAGAAAAUUAAAUCUCUAGUUUUUUCAAAGACACAGAUUUUUUGAAUUACAAAUUGUGUUGUUCCUAAUCUUCCUGAUGGGUAAGUCCCUUUUGGCUUUGCGUAUGUACGUUUUAAUUAUUGCUGUUUUCAGUCAACAAAAAAGUUCUCUGACAAACACCUAUCGUAGUGUGUCAAGUACAUGACUGCGCUCUGACCCUAUAAUUAUUUCAGAAUUAAUGUUAAGUUGGUUUAUGUUUGAACUUAAAUUUAAUUGGAUAAAAUUAGUCAUUUAGUUCAUGUUUAAGUUUGUGAUUCAGUCUGUGUUUUAUUGUUAUAAAAAAUAAAAAUCUUUUUAAAAAUGCAAA